CCUAAAUUGAAAAGAUUUUUUCCUUCUCGUUGUAUUUUGACCCCCAAUUACGUUUCGCCACCAGUUAUUAGGUCACGAUUCAGUUAUGAGGUUGAUGAUGAAGGUGAGAGAUCAUAGAGCCAGAUCAGAUGCAAAAUCAGGGAAGUGACAUCUGAUGAUGCGGUUUUAGCUGUAAACCCUAGCAUUUCAUUUGGUGGAAAUGAUGUGAAGCAAGCGGAUAGGUCUUCAUUCUGUGUAGGAUAGAUUGGUUGAUAUAAUGGGAUGUCCAAAUCAUGGAAAUUUAUGUUUAAAUCAUUGCUGGUUGAAUUGAUGGAUGCGCCAGUGAUAUCGUUUGAGCAAGAUGAUAUAUUUUCGGGGCUAAAAUGUGCAGGAAAAACGUUUUGGUUGAAUAAAUUGGAUCCUUGAGCGAGGACUCUUUGUGCCAUAGUGGUUGCUUUCUUGAAUAUCUUGCAUAUUGCCCAUGCAUCCUGUCAUGAAUUAAGGAGAUAAAUAUUGAAAACUUUCCAUAUAUAUUAUACAUGAUUUGCAAGAAUAUGAGGAUCUUCUUACAUUUGCAGGAAUGUUUUUGACAUGAAACAGCUUCUUGGUUGGUGUCAUGGAAUCAGAAAUAGAAGGAAGGCGGAAUUCAUGCAUCAUCCAAUCAGUUUUAAUUCCUUUGGCAGCCUUUCCCCUGUAGAAGACUAGGGACUUCUUCAAACCGAUGCAUUUGGUUCCAUUAGAGGAGUAUAUAGGCCGGUCAGUACCUGUUGCCUUCCAGAAACCGGCUCCAGUCACACGGUUAGGCCUCGCACUGUUUCUGUAUUUACGGUCUCUUGGGCAGUAGAAAUACCAUUCUUUCUCUCCAUUAGAUGCCAAUUCUAGUGAAAUAAAAUUAUUUAGAGCCAAAAGCUAGUAAAUUAGUGAACUCUAUAUCUAGCUAUCAUGGAUCCUAUUAUAUAGGUGUAUAUAUAUUCUUACUUGGUAGAUCCCAUGGAUCAUAUUUGUAGAUAUCAGCUUGCUUAAUCAGCUCAAUUGAAAGAGGUCGUUGUUGAAUCUUCCUAAUCAGGUAGAAUCCAACGAGCUCUUCAUCUGUAGGGUGAAAUCUGAAUCCGGGAAGAAUGACAUCGUCCAUCUUAUCCACAUCUUUCUUCUUCUCAUGAUCCAUCUCUAACACUUAAUAGCAUCAAUUAAAGGAACAUAUAUAGGUUGCCUAUUCUAGGACAGAGGAUUUUUUAUGAGAGUUCACUUGGUUGUGUUUAUAUUCAAAUUGAAUGAUGUGGGGGAGAAACUAGAUCAGUCUCAACUGUUUGUAUAUAGAAUGUGAAUAUAGGGAGGAAUUCACAUUUAUUAUAUAUAUAGAGAGAAAGGUAUGUCAUAUGUGUGUGUAUCCUUGUGUUUAUAUUUUCUUCUUCUAAAUCAAGAGAAGGUGACAAAAGAGCAAUCUUAUAUAUGACAACACUAGUGGGUAGCCACUGUAUAAAUUAUUUCUU